GGAUGUGAGGGCCAUCUGGCUGUGACAUCUGUCACCCCAUUGAUCUGUCUGGCUACACCAGUGUCCCCUUCCUCCCUCACCACUCCAUGUGGGUCGCUCAUGAAGCUGCAUGCUUGGUCGAAGAGGACGACCAUCCCUGAUAUUGGAGGACCAAUCUUCCAUCGAGUGUAUACCAGUCGCUGUGCUCCCCUGCUAGAACCUCCAAACAAGCUCUCAAAGGGGUCUCUUUCCAACAAAAAUUAGUUAUUUUUUAUGUGUGAGUGUGUAUACAUGGAAAUUGUAGCUUGUAUAGCACUCAUU
rnacentral:snRNA from 1 species